UGGGGAAUCUUGGACAAUGGGCGCAAGCCUGAUCCAGCCAUGCCGCGUGGGUGAAGAAGGCCUUAGGGUUGUAAAGCCCUUUCAGUCGUGACGAUGAUGACGGUAGCGACAGAAGAAGCCCCGGCUAACUCCGUGCCAGCAGCCGCGGUAAUACGGAGGAGGCAAGCGUUAUCCGGAAUUAUUGGGCGUAAAGCGUCCGCAGGUGGUUGUUCAAGUCUGCGGUUAAAGACCGGAGCUUAACUCCGGACAUGCCGUGGAAACUGAAGAACUAGAGACCGGUAGGGGUAGAGGGAAUUCCCAGUGUAGCGGUGAAAUGCGUAGAGAUUGGGAAGAACACCAGUGGCGAAAGCGCUCUACUGGGCCGGUACUGACACUCAGGGACGAAAGCUAGGGGAGCGAAAGGGAUUAGAUACCCCCGUAGUCC
rnacentral:rRNA from 1 species